AUUGAACGCUGGCGGCGGGCCUAACACAUGCAAGUCGAGCGACAGGAUAGGAAGUUCUCCCUCUUACGGUUGGCGGGGGACGGGUGGGUAACACGUGGAUAACCAACUUAUAAGACUGGGAUAAUUUCGGGAACCCGGAUACACUACCGGAUAAUAUAUUGAACGGCAUGGUUCAUUGGUGAAAGAGGGUUUUCCUGUACCUAUUAGCUGAUUCCGCGCCGCAUUAGCUAGUUGGUAAGGUAACGGCUUACCAAGGCAACGAUGCGUAGCCGGCCUGAGAGGGUGAUCGGCCACACUGGAACUGAGACACGGUCCAGACUCCUACGGGAGGCAGCAGUAGGGAAUCUUCCGCAAUGGGCGAAAGCCUGACGGAGCAACGCCGCGUGAGUGAUGAAGGUCUUCGGAUCGUAAAGCUCUGUUAUUAGGGAAGAACAAAAGUGUAAGUAACUAUGCACGUCUUGACGGUACCUAAUCAGAAAGCCACGGCUAACUUCGUG
rnacentral:rRNA from 1 species